CACGUAGUUAGCCGGGGCUUCUUAGUCAGGUACCGUCAUUUUUUUCUUCCCUGCUGAUAGAGCUUUACAUACCGAAAUACUUCUUCACUCACGCGGCGUCGCUGGAUCAGGGUUUCCCCCAUUGUCCAAUAUUCCCCACUGCUGCCUCCCGUAGGAGUUUGGGCCGUGUCUCAGUCCCAAUGUGGCCGUCCACCCUCUCAGGCCGGCUACUGAUCGUCGCCUUGGUGGGCCGUUACCCCACCAACCAGCUAAUCAGACGCGGGUCCAUCAUAUACCACCGUAGUUUUUCACACUGUCUCAUGCAAAACUGUGCGCUUAUGCGGUAUUAGCACCUAUUUCUAAGUGUUAUCCCCCUGUAUAUGGCAGGUUACCCACGCGUUACUCACCCGUCCGCCACUAAGUCAUCAACAUUUCCACUCUUAGCAAGCUAAUUGCUUCAAAAAUGAUGACUCCGUUCGACUUGCAUGUGUUAAGCACGCCGCCAGCGUUCAUCCUGAGCCAGGAUA
rnacentral:rRNA from 1 species